UCUUGGCUCAGUUUGAGGGAGACUCCUUUUUGAAAGUGAGAGACAAUAUCAGCCUUCACGGACAGCAAGAUUUGCUUCCAAUUACCAGACAAGCUUUCAGACCAUGUGCUCAGGACUGCGCCUUGCUUUCGGAAGUACAGU